CAAAUUCCUAAGAAAGGCACUCAGCACUGCAGUCUAGGGCAAGCUGCCUUGUCCCACAUAGAGCUGCCUGCGAUACCUUUGCAUCACCCUGCUCUUCCUGUCACUCCUGGUUAUUAUUAGACACUGCAUUCUCACGUGCUGGGAGCAGACACAGCAGGGCUGGGGUGGUGGUGGGAGGAGGAUGUUCAGGGAAUGGUCCUUUUUAACCCUGCAGGCUUCCUGGUGGCCCCUCACAGGCUGUAGGAUUGGAAUUAGGAUGGCUGCAUUCCGUAUUCCUUUGUUUCCUAAAGGGAAAGCAUGCUUGGGUAUUUCUUUCAGCACAAAACUGGAAACUGCUAGAACUGCUUUUGUCUUCUGCUACCUGUACACUGAACACCAAGUCUGAAGAAGAUGAAGGAACUGUUCCCACAUUCCUUUUUGUAUUUGUACUCAGUUCUGUGUAAUUUAUCGAUAAAUCUGCUUGCAGCUCCUGGUAACAACGCAUACUUUGCCUAGCACAGAACUCGGCCUAGCACGAUAGCUACAGAGCCCUCUCUGGCCAUAAUUCCUGGCAAGCAUCUUAAGGAAGUGUAUGCUUGCAAUUAGCUGAUAGAUCAAAUCAAUGUCAAAAUCGAAAAUCUAUUUGCAGCAGAGAGUACAGUAAUCCAUCGUCAGUUUGUAAUGGGAAAAGAAGAUGGUCUUCGUGAAGACAAACUCAAUCCUAUAUUGUGAUUGUUCUUUAGUCACAAAUAUUUACAAGAUUAAACCACAGUAUAAAUGUUGUGAUUGGUGGUGUUGCUUUAGUUUUAAGAUAGCCUUUUAAGAAAUGUGUAGGAAAUAUAGUUAAAAGAUUCUUUAAAACCAUUAUCAAUUGCAUUUUGCACAUCACUGCAGUGAAAGUCUGGUUCCAUCUCCUAUUUGGCCGUUUGCUGGUAAAAACUCACGUUAUGAAAGUAAUUGCUUUUGGAUGUAUAAUUGUUUAAAAGUACGUGACAAACGAGAUAACGCAGACAGCUGGGAUAACAAGUACAUACUGGGGCUUCUCAGGGGCAUGUUCUGGGCUAUGUCUGAAGUGUGUAUCCAGAUUCUGUAGCUCAGUUUGGAUACCACUGAACAUGGGCAGAUUAUGUUAAGAUGCCCAAAUAGUUUCCAUCCCUGUCUGCCUGUUCUACUUCCUUCCUGAAAGAUUGUAUUUCCAUGUCAAGGGAAGGGAAGGUACCUAAAACUGCAUUUAAAAUUGCAUGGGCUGAAGGUAGAGAAGGCAGCUGAGGUGUAUAUACCCUUUUGUGAGACGUGUCACCAGACAAAAGGGAGGAAGCAACCGAAAACCAAAUGAGCUCCGAAGUUCUGCGCAUCCUUUGUUUCUCUUCUGAUGCAGGCCAGAUAGAUCCUAUUUCAUUUAUUAUUAAAACUCUUCCUGAACUUCUAGAAAUUGAUGUCAGGGAAGAACAUGAUUUCCAUGGAAAAGUGCUGUAGGACACCAGUAAGGAGAAUGUAACUGCAGAAGAGAGUGGGAGUGUUUGUAUUUUAUCUAAAUUUGAAAUAGGAGAACAGGGUAGACUGCUAAAAGCAACUCUAGCGAUGCAAUAUCCAGUAUCGGGAGAACAAAAUCCUUUUGUUUCCUGACCUCAGCCUCACCAAACAAACUAAGAGAAAAGUGUUAUUGAGCUGGAGGAAUUUGUUUACUGGAAAGAAUACUGAGGCCCUGCGAUGGCAUCUAUAAAGCUAGGGAUGGCACAGAACAGACCUAUUCUGGAUAAGUAUCAGCAGUAGUGAUACACAGAUGACAGCAACAUCAAAAGAAGAUGAACUUCCAUGAGCUAGAAAGUAAACUCUAUCAAUAAUUUGAUUCCUUUAUUUAGCUGACAGCUGCACCUAAAAUUGAUCUCAAUUAUACUGACGUAAGAUGUUUUAAAGACUGCUUAAUUGACAUGUGCAUUUAAUUCUGUGUGAAAUGUUCCAGUUAAAUAUGCUUGUGCCUUCAAAAAUACAUGAUGUGGUUCACUGAAUAAUGGUGAAAAAUGUGUUUCCAAAACUAAUGCUGUUUUUCUAUAUUGUGGAGCUAAUGAAGCUAACUGUUUCUUAGUGCUCUUCUGCAGCGAGCUCUGGAAGGUCCUGCUCACUCCCGAUCAUCUCGCUGUGAUAUGGAACACUCUGUACUAUUUGUAUGUUGUAUCCCUACCAAAAAACCCUUCAGCAUAUGAAUAUUCUCAUGCUCUGUAUCACAAUGCCCAG
ensembl:lncRNA